UACGUAGGGUGCGAGCGUUAAUCGGAAUUACUGGGCGUAAAGCGUGCGCAGGCGGUUUUGUAAGCCAGAUGUGAAAUCCCCGGGCUUAACCUGGGAAUGGCAUUUGGGACUGCAAGGCUGGAGUGCGGCAGAGGAGACUGGAAUUCCUGGUGUAGCAGUGAAAUGCGUAGAUAUCUGGAGGAACACCGGUGGCGAAGGCGGCAUCCUGGACCAACACUGACACUGAGGAGCGAAAGCCAGGGAGCAAAGCGGG
rnacentral:rRNA from 1 species